UGAUAUUGACACAAGAAAAAAUAGAUGGUUUCAUGAAGACAAUUCCUGGUUUAUUUUAUACAAGUUUGUGGUGAAAGAUAUAUGGUGAAAUAUGGUAAAAUACAGCCACUCAUACGUUGGGCAGUGCUGACAAGUUGGCAAUACAGUUACUAGGGGAGUUUGUUUUGGUUUCUUUUUGUUAUCUGUUUGCAAUACCCAACACUAAACAUAUGAAGUUGGUUGCAGUAGUUUCAGCUGUGUUGUAUGACAUACCUCUCAAAACAUAACAAAUGGGGAAGCAGAAAAAAGUAUGUUUCAAGAGGACACACCCUGGGAGAGACCAGGGGUGAUCAUACAAACAGAGACGGAAUAAUAUUUGAUAGGCUAAACUGUAUAGAUCAGAAUUGUGCAAACAACAGAAUUAGGAAGGUAUGCACAUGCAGGAAGUGUGAUGUGAAGAAUCUUCAUCAAAAGCCUGGACCAUAUAAUGGAAAUUCACUUGAUUCAAUAUUGCACAGUCAACCUGAAUUGCAGCUGAUGAUCGUGAACUGCUUGUUGACAAAAGGAGAAAAAGAAUUUUCCAAAGUAGAAAGAGGCAUGGGAGGAGAAAAGGAAGCCUGCGUGACACCAUGUACUAAUGAGAAAAAAUAAAACGAGAAAUGCUCAAGGAGAAAGAUAGUCAAAGAGAACAUGAAGGAAGAUGGAAUGAACUUAUAUGUCAAGUAGAACAGAAUAUUUUUCAAGAACCAAGUCCAUCUACCUGGACAUGUGAAAGAGGUCUGCAUCAGUGAAUCGAUAAGCUAUGCUUCUCCAGAAAAUUAAUGUAAACUGUUUAAUAAAGUGUCAGAUCUACAGCUGCUCAGUUAAAUAUAGGAAGAAACUGCUGAUAGCUUUUUUAUGACAGGGGAUAAACCUGAGGAAGAACCUGGCUCAAGGGAAGAAUAUUUUAAAGAAGAAAAAGGUCACAGAGUUUGUGAUGGAUGUUGAAAGAAGAGUAAGACAAAUUUACAGUAAAAGAAACAAGUGGGAUUGCCAAAACAAGGGAAUAUCUGAAUAUGUUGGGAUGAGCAACUACAAUACAGAAGAUCAGUUAACCUUUCUUCAGACUUAGAACAGAUUCCACUACAAAGCCUCACACCUGACAUUUAAACUUGUCUGCAUGAAAGUUCUUAUGGUGCAGAUACCAGCUGGAUCCAAUUCUCAUUCAGCUAAUAGCUGGAAUGUGGAGAAGCUUCAACCAAAUCUCAAAAGCAAACAAAAUAAUCUGAAGGAUAAAGAUACGACGAAAGCAGCAAAUUCCUCUGAAAUCUACUGGGCUGAGGAAUGAUGAAACACAAGACAAAGCUCUUAUCUAUCAGGAAGUUUAAAGCACACCACCUUUUCAUAUGGGACCUAACUGAACGUAUAAUUGAAACAGUGAGACCACCUGGAUACACAACGUUGUCAACUAUAAAAAGGCAUACACAUACAACAUAUGGUUGCUGGUAUAAGCAGGCCAAGCAACUUUUACAGGCACUUCUUGAGUAGCAAGAAAAAAAAGAUUUUAAAGCUGUAGAUGGGAGUACAAUAAAGGACUGUACUUGCUGAAUGUAAGCUGCGUGUCAACUACAUCUGAAAGCAAGAGUGAAGAGCUGGCAGAUGUAGGUAAGCAAUGUUUAUUAGGUAGCUAAAGCUAGCUUUAAUUUAUUCAUAAAUGGGUCUGUAGAUUGGCAUUGCUAUAUACUGUGCUUUUUCAUCUAUUUCUCAGAUGAUCAGAGGCAGCAAUUUAAACCAUCAAGACCUUAGAAAAAGAAAAAAUCAAAACACAUUGAUUACGCUGAUGACACAUUGAUGACACAACUCUCCUUAUGUGCUUACACAUAAACGUUCUUGUUUUUUUAUACUAUUUUUGAACAUAAGGUACCCCAGUUUGUAAUGCACAGAAAACCAAAUCAAAACUUGUUAGAACGUCCAAUGGCAUAGCUUGAUAGAAAACUGUAGCAUACUGUCACAUUUCUUUAUAAAGAGGAAAAAAUACACCUCUCUUUCCUGUUUUAGGUGUUCUAUAACUGCCACAGAUUUUAGAAACAGCUAAUAUGUAGCUGUUUAAAUUAAGAGUCAUGUGUGGCCAGGUAAAAUUUACUGCAAAAUAACUUCAUACCGUAGCCAUGAACUGGUAGAAGGAUCCUGUCUAGUUUUAAAUUGUUCCAAAAAGGGCAAAAGAAGGGGAAAAAAAACUGAUUGUGAUGAAGGACAUGCAGGUGGGGUGGAAUUUUGUAAAUGAUUUCAGCUGCAUUCAUUAAAAGUCUACUUUUUAGUCUCUGGGAUUCUUCAGGUGUUUACAGCUGGAAGUCUUCUGAGGAGCUGCUGAGGGAAUUGGGGUUGUUUCAUUUGGAGAAGAGGAGGCUUGGGGAGACCUUAUCACUCUAUAAAUACCAGAAAGAAUAUUGUGGUGAGGAGGAUAUUUUCCUCCUGUGUAAGUAGCAAUAGGACUAGAGGGAAUGGCAUCAAGUUACAGAGGAAAAAUUAAGUUACAUACUAGGAAAAAGUUACAUUCUAGGAAAAGUUUGUUCUCUGAAUGAGUGAUGAGAUGCUGAAAUCGGCUGCCCAAUCACCCCCUGGAAGUGUUCAAGAAGCAUAUAUAAAAAUAUAAAUAUAAAUUUAUAUAUAAAUUUAUAUAAGCAAUAUAAAAAAGACAUCUCCUGACCUGGAGAUGUAACUUAUCAGUCAUUUUAUUCCUACAAGUCAUUGGACAGAAUCCCACUGAACACAGAACACUUUUCAUAUACUGUAUUACUAGUUGUGACCUGUGUUGGGUAUUUGCGCUUUCUGGGAAAAAGUCACAGUGCUUCAGUGCUCAGGUGUGAUUCAAAGAUAGCAUCAACAGACAAUUCUGGGGUUUCCAUCUACAAGAGAGCUUAUGGAAAGGCUGUAAUUCAGAUUCACAGGGUGAUCAAGGACAAUUUUUUCAAAAUUCUCUGCUUUGUAAAAGGAAGAGUGUGUAAUGCAGCUGACUAUCGUUUACAAGUAUUAUUUCUGGAAAGGCACUGUAAUGAAACCUCCAUUUGAUGGUAGAGUUAAUAACUUUAGAAGCAGUGUGAUAAUGUAUAUUUGCAUUCCAGGGACAGGUUGUUUAUUGUUCAGAGAGAAUUAAGGCCAGGAAUGGCAACAAGAAGGUAAGCAGUUUGUGAAACCCUAGAGGUUUACUUACUGAGGAAGAGGAGUAGAAUAAAUGAAUUCUACACUAGAAAAAUGCUAGAGCAUUUGCACUGAAGGAAGAUAACAUGCUAGUAUGGAUUACUGUGGUUCAUUUAAAAAAUGAUAGUUAAGCAGUGGGUGAAUGUAAAUCAUCCUUAGAAAAUACCAUAUCACUUUGCAGCAAAGUACCAGGUGUACGUUAAAAGGUAUUUAACCUGUGUAAAAAGUACAAGAUAAUGUCUUUCAAAUUAAGGACAUUUUUCUCUCUUUUUACCUCUCUGUAUCUUGUGGAUAACAAAUAUAAAAGUCAGAUUAUCUUAAUUAAAUUCUACAUUACAGCUUACUCAUUAGUUAUGUCCUCAAUUUAAACUACUGUGGAAAGAGAUGAGAUCUGUGUUAAAAUAUAACAUGCACCUGUGAACAUUAAGGGAGUUCUUGUUUUGUGUUGAUACAUAUCAGAAUAUGUAUAGAAUCAUAGAAUGGCUUGGGUUGGAAAGGACCUCAAGGAUCAUCAAGUUCCAGUCCCCCUGCCACAGGCAGGGCUGCCAACCUCCAUAUCUAUUACUAGACCAGGCUGCCCAAUGUCCCAUCCAACUUUGCCUUGAGUACUUCCAAGAAUGGGGCAUCCACAACCUCUCUGGGCAGCCUGAUCCAGCACCUCACCACUCUCUUUGUAAAGAACUUCCCCCUGAUAUCCAACUUAAUUUUCCCUCCUUCAAUUUAAAAUCAUUUUUCCUGUCCUGCCAUUAUCUAUCCCUGUAAAGAGUUGACUCCUCUCCUGUUUGUAGGCUCCUAUUAGGUACCGGAAAGCUACAAUGAGUCAUUUGAGUCAUGAGAAAGCUACAAUGUCAUCCUGCAGGAUGUCUUUUUUUGGCAAUUAAAAAACAACAACAACACAACAACACGAAAAGCUUGGAGAAAUGUGGGUUUUUUUUUUUUUGCAAGAAAAAAGGAGAGACUGAAGUGGCUGAAAAAUGGAUUUACUGAUGAUAGAAGUGUGUCAUGAAACUGUUUCAAACUCAGCCAACCACCUGACUGUCCUAUAGAACAGUGGAGGAAAGAGAAAAGGAAAGCAAAAUGAGGGAAAUGGAAGCUUUAGUUUUUAGUUAAUAUAAACAUCUAAGGUAUAAUUCUAUGCCUGAUGAAAUAGUGAAUUAUGCUGUUAUUGCCUAGGUUUUUUAUUGCUGCAGUUUUUGUCACAACUGACUGGUGUGCAGUCAAUACGUGUGUUGUUGCCAUUUGAGUAUGGCAAGACUUUUAUGUCAGUAAAUUUGAUAACUAGCAGGUACAGAGAAUGCCAUUGUGAGAACCAGUACACAGUUUUCUAGUUUCUCUCUCAGUACAGAGCACUGAGCUCUGUGGUACAGCCUACACAACAAGUAUUGAAAAGAAUAUUGCUAUCAUGUCAUGUACUUUUGGGUUACUACUCUAUGAACAGGAAAAGUGCAGAUCAGGGCCUGACCAAUUGCCAAAAGUCACACUGCAUGCUUUGUACAGAAAGCAAGGACUGAUAUUUUAAGAUCACAUUAAAUGGCUCACAAGUUUCCCAUUUUCACAGAAGUAGGCAGAGCUUUGCCUGUUGAUUUAUUAUUCAUGCAGAGGGUACUGCUUCUUCAAGAAGAUCGUAAAUAUAAUUUCUCCAACCCAAUCAUUCUCUCCAGGUUCCUGAUGAAGUGAUAACCACAACAGACUUCAGAAGGAUUAAGGGAUGAUGUGGAAAAUGAAGCCUAAGCUGUGUUUCUGUACAUUGUGUUAUGUGAAACAGCCACAGAGAGAUAAGAACCAAGUAGUGGGAAAAUAUACCACUUGUAAUGAAAGCUUGAGGCUUCAUCAAAACUCUGCUUCUAGGGUGAAUGACUCAGAUUCUCAGUUACAUAGAUUUGGGAGGUUAAUCCUUUUCAAAUAGUUCUUCCACUUACAUUUAUUUACAGAGUGUGAUCACCACAUACUGAAAAAGAUACUCAAAUCCUCUUCAAAUUAGGCAAUUUAUGUGCCUAUACCUCUGGGAUUUGUGGGACCAUUACUUUUAUCUUUAUUAACUCCUUAGCGUUAAUGUAGCUCAUGACUGACAAAAGAUUAAUAAGUGUAUGGGAAGAUGAUUUAUCUGUGAUGGAGAACAGACAUAAGCAACCUGUCCUGACGCCUAUCUUUUAAGCAACCUGUGCAGUUACUGUAGGAAUUUGACACAAAUUAGUUACGUGCAUCAACUGUGUUAGAAGCACAAAACUUGUAAUGUAUUAAUUUUCUUAAAAUGAUGGAUGUCUAGCACUUUUACAGAAGGUGUCCCAUACUUUGCAGGAGUGCAUGGUAAAUAAGGAUCUUUGCUUUUGUUCUCAACAGAAAUUGACAGUACAAUUUUGCAUUUUAAAGCACCGUUCCUAAGUGGUAAAACCAAACACACCACUCAAAGAGAGAAACUAUUUUCCCAGUGCAUACAUUAGAUUUCAGCUCUGGAAAGAUCAGUCACAUUUCAGAAUACCAGACUAACUUUAGUGCAUACCAUGCUAUUCUUUUGGCUCAGUGAAGAAUUUAAGAGAUACUCUAGUCAUCUUAAUGAGACUCAGUUCAGUGAUGUAAAACAUUUGCUGAAAGAUACAUCAAUUCCAGUACACUUCAGUAGAAACAAAACUAGAUACAGGCUGCAGACUUUGCCCAAAGAAAGCAUCAUGUCAGAAACCUACCAUGGAAGAAUAGUUUUACGUAGUCAUAUUAAGUGUUUUAUACUAUCAUUUUAUACUCUCUUUAUACAGAAUUUUGAUAAAGAGUGUCAUACCUGGGGAAUAUUAUUCAGGCCAAGUUCAGACAUACAAAGCCUUUCAGCUCUUCUCUCAUUAGACUCGUAUUUGUUCACCAUAUGCCUGACUAAAUAUACACCUAUCAGAUGUAAGUCUGCAUUAACCUUUUAUUCACUCACUCUACUACUUUCUGAAGGUCAUAUCUGAUGCUAUAUUAUUUUUUUCAUAUUAAAAAUCUGCAAUGAUUAUAAUAGUGUCUUCCCGAAGUUCUUUUCUUGAUGAAACAUUGCUGCUGUUAUGCUACUGCUGUUCUGCAAACAGCUGGGGAGAGGACAACAGCUGAGCAGUCGUACAUGCAGAGGGAGCUGCCCACAAAGCUGUGUCUCCAUUAAAACACUAGAAGAAUUUACGGAAAGGUUUAGGAGUUAUAUUUAGUCAGGAAAAACACUGUUAAUAGCCACCUCCUUUAUGAUGCUAGCAGGAAUUAUUAUUUUUCCCAAAGCCAGAUUUUUACUUGAUCUUCAUUACAAAGAACUCUAAUGCAUUUGUUAAUGAGAGCUGGCAGGACUAGAUCCUAUAAAAAAUGAGGUGUCAGAGAGAGCUCACUAUGGGGGCAAAAACUCCAACAGCUUCCAGGAGACUAAGGCCUUUAUUUGAUCCAGCCAGAUAUCUUUUGGAUGAAAAGGCUUCUUUUGCAGUAUUUUGGAAAGAUAAUGUGUUCUCUCUUUGCCAGAACAUGGAAUUGCAAAGCCAGUGCUUGAUCCAUUGUUUUUCAGCUUUUCUCAGCGAGGAAGCUUUUGUUUGGGUUUGGAAAAUACUUUGGUUUUGUUCCCAUUUAGUCAAGCACAGUUUACCCCAGGCAUGUGGCAGUGAGUACAUAAGGUACCAGAAUGCAAGAUAGAGAUGGUGUGCACAUUAUGUAUCUUUUUCUGUAUGUUUGUAAACCCGUAAGAAAUUUACUUAAAUGUUUACAGUAAUGUCAUCGCAACACUAGGAAAGGAGAAACAGUCUCCUCAUGAGAAGUAUCCCAAUAACUAAGCUGAAUAAAAAUUUGCAGUGGAAAGAUGGCCAUAUCCCUUUAAAAGAAUCAAAACUUUAGUAGACAAAGGAACUAUAAGGCAUAAAAAUAAAACCACUGUCAAAGCAGCCAUCACCCUUGGGUGGUAUCUACUUGUCAAGUAAUUUGUUACUUGGCAGCAAAGCAGUCACUUCCCCAUGAAUUACAUUG
ensembl:lncRNA